GAUGAACGCUGGCGGCGUGCUUAACACAUGCAAGUCGAACGAAGCAUCUGCGACAGUUUUUUUCGGAAUGAAGUUGCUUAUGACUGAGUGGCGGACGGGUGAGCAACGCGUGGGUAACCUGUAUUGUCCUGGGGGAUAGCCGCUGGAAACGUCUGGUAAUAACGCAUAAGCUCACAAUGUUGAAUGACGUGGUGUGAAAAACUCCGGUGGGAUAAGAUGGACCCGCGUCUGAUUAGCUAGUUGGUGCGAGAACAGCCAACGAAGGCGAGACUAGGUAGACGAGCUGAGAGAGUGGCCGGAGACACUGGCGGGGAGACACAGCACAGACUCCUACGCGAGGCAGCAGUGCGUAAUAGUGCACAAUGGAGGGAACUCUGAUGCAGUUACGCCGCGAGAGUGAAGAAGUAAUGCAUGAUGUAAAGCUCUAGCAGCAAGGAAGAUAUUGACGGUACCUGACUAAGAAGCCCCGGCUAAAUACGUG
rnacentral:rRNA from 1 species